GACGAACGCUGGCGGCGCGCUUAACACAUGCAAGUCGAACGGAAAGGCCUGCUUUCCCUUGUGGAUUGCGGGUACUCGAGUGGCGAACGGGUGAGUAACACGUGAGUGAUCUGCCCCCAACUUGGGUAUAAGCCUGGGAAACUGGGUCUAAUUCCCGAUAGGACUGCAGGGUGGUGCCUGUGGUGGAAAACGAUUUUCUAGUGGUUGGGGAUGAGCUCGCGGCCUAUCAGCUUGUUGGUGGGGUAAUGGCCUACCAAGGCGGCGACGGGUAGCCGGCCUGGGAGGGUGGACGGCCACAUUGGGACUGAGAUACGGCCCAUACUCCUACGGGCGGCAGCAGUGGGGAAUCUUGCACAAUGGGCGUAAGCCUGAUGCAGCGAUGCCGCGUGGGGGAUGACGGCCUUCGGGUUGUAAACUCCUUUCGACCGCGAGGAAGCCACCUGGUUGGAAGGGUGGUGACGGUAGUGGUAGAAGAAGCACCGGCUAACUACGUG
rnacentral:rRNA from 1 species